ACGACAACUCAGAAACAGUGCUGAGCCAUGGAAGUUAGAUCCUGCCGAACAAAGUCCUCCGGAUAGCUUACUUAUUGCAGACGCUGCUCAGAUCAGAGGCCUUCAUCCUCAGUGUUUCAAACAAGCUCUUCAUUUAUUUUCUCUGUCAUGCCCACAUGCUGUCUGAAGCUGCAUUAGAGAAAGGUAUUUUCAGAGCGAACACUCAGCUGUAUGAGGAAACAGCAGGGGAGAGAACUUCUGAGGAACCUUAAUGAGGGGAUUUCAGUGGAUUCUGUGCUGCAGUUGAACCCAAAAAUUAAUUCGGACAAGCGGCGAGAAGCAGUGGAUGUAAGCAAACCUCCUGGAGCAAUAAGAUCUGCCUGAUGGGGCUCCUCCAGAACCAGAACCAGUCUCUGGUCUUGUCUCAACCAGAGGUCAUCCACUUGGAGUCCACAGCACAACAAUCAGCUGUAAACAACAUUGUCAUCGUGCUGUGUGUGUUGAUCUUCAUCCUCCAGCUGUGUUUAGCUCUGUUCUUCAUGCUGAGAUGUUGUAGGUAUGACAACAGAAUACGAGAGGCUCUCAAACAGCCGGCCGCUGUUAAAAAAAUCCUUGGCAUUUAUAAAGAGUCCAGGGAUCAACUUUAUGAUGCUGCUGGUUCUUCAUCACCUGCCAUGUCAGCAGUGGAGGAAAGUUAUGAGGAGCCCACAGCUUCUUUGCGUGCACCGCACAUAUACUGGGACCUUGUUCAGUAGUCACGUGUCUAACAGUUCAACCAGGCUCUAAACAGUGUUAAUGAAACUGUAAAUGUCCGUUUAAUCUAUUAAAUAUGUAAAGUAUGGAAAUGUUUUGUUUUUAGAGUAUUAAAGGAAUACAAGCAACUGAUGUUACUGUGUAAUGUGAAAAUCUUUGAUAUUGGAACAAAGAUUCAUUUUUGCUUCACCUCAGCUCUGUGUUGAGAUGUUUUAGUGUCUUCAGCUAUUGGCUGCUGAUUCACUCAUUUUCAGUCCAGUCCUUAUACCUGAUGAUUUUUAGGGGAAUUAUCUUUUUUGUUCAUUUCUGUAUAUUGAUUUUCAGUUAAUUUGAUCAUGUAAACAAUAUACAGAGAGUCAUUUAGGGAAAAAUAAAAAACAAAUAAA